UUUUUAAAAUUUUUAUUUUUAUUUUUUUCUUCUGUUUUUUAUUCCCAUUUU
rnacentral:ribozyme from 13 species